UACAGAGGUCCCAAGCGUUGUUCGGAUUCACUGGGCGUAAAGGGUGCGUAGGUGGUUGGGUAAGUUUGAUGUGAAAUCUCCGGGCUUAACCCGGAAGCUGCAUUGAAUACUAUCUGGCUAGAGGGUUGGAGGGGGGACUGGAAUACUUGGUGUAGCAGUGAAAUGCGUAGAUAUCAAGUGGAACACCAGUGGCGAAAGCGGCUUCCUGGACCAGAACAUGACGAGUCAGGCUCGAAAGCGUGGGGGAGCAAACAGG
rnacentral:rRNA from 1 species